rnacentral:rRNA from 1 species
UAUACGACUCUCGGCAACGGAUAUCUUGGCUCUYGCAUCGAUGAAGAACGUAGCGAAAUGCGAUACUUGGUGUGAAUUGCAGAAUCCCGCGAACCAUCGAGUCUUUGAACGCAAGUUGCGCCCGAGGCUAUCCGGCCGAGGGCACGCCUGCCUGGGCGUCA